AUACCCCUGUAGUCCUAGCCGUAAACGAUGGAUACUAGGCGUAGCUCGUAUCGACCCGAGCUGUGCCGUAGCUAACGCGUUAAGUAUCCCGCCUGGGGAGUACGCAGGCAACUGUGAAACUCAAAGGAAUUGACGGGGGCCCGCACAAGCGGUGGAGUAUGUGGUUUAAUUCGAUGCAACGCGAAGAACCUUACCAAGACUUGACAUGUCACGAAUUCCGUUGAAAGAUGGAAGUGCCUUAGGGAGCGUGAACACAGGUGGUGCAUGGCUGUCGUCAGCUCGUGUCGUGAGAUGUUGGGUUAAGUCCCGCAACGAGCGCAACCCUCGUUUCUAGUUGCCAGCAUUAAGUUGGGCACUCUAGAGAGACUGCCGGUGACAAACCGGAGGAAGGUGGGGAUGACGUCAAGUCAGCAUGCCCCUUACGUCUUGGGCUACACACGUACUACAAUGCUCCGGACAAAGGGCAGCUACACAGCGACGUGAUGCGAAUCUCACAAAACCGGAGCUCAGUUCAGAUCGAAGGCUGCAACUCGCCUUCGUGAAGGAGGAAUCGCUAGUAAUUGCAGGUCAGCAUACUGCAGUGAAUUCGUUCCCGGGCCUUGUACACACCGCCCGUCACACCAUGGAAGCUGGCCACACCCGAAGUCGUUACCCUAACCUUUCGAGGAGGGGGACGCCGAAGGUAGGGCUGGUGACUGGGGUGAAGUCGUAACAAGGUAGCCGUACCGGAAGGUGUGGCUGGAUCACCUCCUUUAAGGGAGACCUACCCACCUUAAGUAUCGAAAGCAAAAAGCAAAUAGAGAAAGAGAGGGUCAACCGAAAGGUCGAGCAAGGGAGAGGCAAGAAUUCCAAACUAUUUAGGUCGGUUCGGACAACUGUAAGAAGUUGAAAGGACGAGGCGAGGGCUAUUAGCUCAGGUGGUUAGAGCGCACGGCUGAUAACCGUGAGGUCCCUGGUUCAAAUCCAGGAUGGCCCACCUGAACCUAGAGAAACCCAAAAGGAUAAAACCCAGCACCUAACUAAAGCUUAUGAAUCUUAAAGAUGAAUAAGAAAAGAAAGAAUGCUGGACAAAAAUCCAGCGAGAACCUUGAAAACUGCAUAGAAGAAAUAGAAAGAAAAAGAUUAGGUGAGAAAUCACCAAAAAAAGGUCAAGCUACAAAGGGCUAACGGUGGAUACCUWGGCACACAGAGGCGADG
rnacentral:sRNA from 1 species